rnacentral:rRNA from 1 species
GUAGCUAUAAUGCAGUCGACGAGAUAUUAGGCUUGCUUCUUGUGAAAGUGGCGCACGGGUGCGUAACGCGUAUGCAACCUACCUUAAUCAGGGGGAUAGCCCGAAGAAAUUCGGAUUAACACCGCAUAAAAACACAGGAUAGCAUUAUCCAAUGUUCAAAUAUUUAUAGGAUUAAGAUGGGCAUGCGUGUCAUUAGCUAGUUGGCGAGGUAACGGCCCACCAAGGCCACGAUGACUAGGGGAUCUGAGAGGAUGACCCCCCACACUGGUACUGAGACACGGACCAGACUCCUACGGGAGGCAGCAGUAAGGAAUAUUGGUCAAUGGAGGGAACUCUGAACCAGCCAUGCCGCGUGCAGGAAGACAGCCCUCUGGGUCGUAAACUGCUUUUAUUCGGGAAUAAACCUUUCUACGUGUAAGAAGCUGAAUGUACCGAAGGAAUAAGGAUCGGCUAACUCCGUGCCAGCAGCCGCGGUAAUACGGAGGAUCCAAGCGUUAUCCGGAUUUAUUGGGUUUAAAGGGUGCGUAGGCGGCUUAUUAAGUCAGGGGUGAAAGACGGUGGCUCAACCAUCGCAGUGCCCUUGAUACUGAUGAGCUUGAAUACACUAGAGGUAGGCGGAAUGUGACAAGUAGCGGUGAAAUGCAUAGAUAUGUCACAGAACACCGAUUGCGAAGGCAGCUUACUAUGGUGUUAUUGACGCUGAGGCACGAAAGCGUGGGGAUCAAACAGGAUUAGAUACCCUGGUAGUCCACGCCCUAAACGAUGAAUACUCGCUGUUAGCGAUACACAGUUAGCGGCUAAGCGAAAGCGUUAAGUAUUCCACCUGGGGG